CUUUGAAUACUGUCAGGUUUCUGCUUCUGCAUUUUGUUCAGUGCUUGCAAUGGGAGAUGCAGAGAUAUCUUUGGGAGUAGAAACUGGCACCUAAGAUUUGUUCACCCUCCUGUCAUCUCCAGCUUCUCCAUGGCUGCAUAGGUGGCAGCAUUGUCAGCCUUUGUGGCGUCUCGGGACGCUUCCAAGGAUUUCGGGCUCUCUCCAGACCUCCCCCACUCACAGCGCUACGUGAUCAGGGCUGAGUUAACAUCAUUACAUACUCACGUCAGAUGGAGAUCCUGGAAAGUUUUGGCAGCUCACUACUGCUGUAACUAGGAGAUUUUUUUGGUAGAAAAAAUUCUGAAUCAAACUCUGCAAUGUCCAGGGACAGGUGAGCCACCACUGCUGCCUGAAAAGAGUUAAUGGAGAAUAAAUU